CGCCAAGAAAUUUGGCGGAACGGAUCUUCUCUAUGUUGAUGGAAUAGGCAAACCCCGAUAAGACGCCAUCCGCGAUCCGCCAAUAGAGACGUCUAAACAGAUGUUCCUUUCGGUAUUGUAUUUGUCCUCGUUAAUCCGCCAGGGACAUGUAAGAUGAUUUGCAUCACAAAGUUCAUCAGAACUUAUAUACAGUGUUAAAAGCUCUCUUGAUUCAAUUGUAAUCAGCGGGUGGGACAUAUGGAGUUAACUGCUAAUCAGGGCCGGCGCAAGGCAGGUUCAGCGCGUUCGCCGAACCCGGCCCCGCGUUUUGAGAGGCCCCGCGGUCUACGAAAAUUACCCAAUUAAAAAACACUGAUU
rnacentral:lncRNA from 1 species